ACCAGAGUGGUGUAGUGGUUUGAGCAUCAGACUACAAUUCUGGACACCAGGGUUCAAAUCCCUGCUAAGCAA